GCACCGGUAGCUCAACUGGAUAGAGCAUCUGACUUCGGAUCAGAGGGUUGGGGGUUCGAAUCCCUCCCGGUGUA
rnacentral:tRNA from 1 species